rnacentral:rRNA from 1 species
UACAGAGGUCUCAAGCGUUGUUCGGAUUCAUUGGGCGUAAAGGGUGCGUAGGCGGUCUGUUGCGUCCGCUGUGAAAACUCGGGGCUUAACCCCGAGCCUGCAGUGGAUACGGGCAGACUAGAGGUAGGUAGGGGAGAAUGGAAUUCCCGGUGUAGCGGUGAAAUGCGCAGAUAUCAGGAGGAACACCGGUGGCGAAGGCGGUUCUCUGGGCAUGAUCUGACGCUGAGGAGCGAAAGUGUGGGGAGCGAACAGG